rnacentral:rRNA from 1 species
CGGACGGGUGAGUAAUGUCUGGGAAACUGCCUGAUGGAGGGGGAUAACUACUGGAAACGGUAGCUAAUACCGCAUAACGUCGCAAGACCAAAGAGGGGGACCUUCGGGCCUCUUGCCAUCGGAUGUGCCCAGAUGGGAUUAGCUAGUAGGUGGGGUAACGGCUCACCUAGGCGACGAUCCCUAGCCGGUCUGAGAGGAUGACCAGCCACACUGGAACUGAGACACGGUCAG